rnacentral:lncRNA from 1 species
UGCCUGAAUGCACACUCGAACUAUAUUCAUGCCCACAUAGAGUUCUGCACCUCACUUGGUUUGAAACGCAGGCACCAUGCUCUUUGUGGAGCAGCAGUAAAGAAUGCCAUACAAA